UCCUGCCAGUAGUCAUAUGCUCGUCUCAAAGAUUAAGCCAUGCAUGUCUAAGGAUAAAUAGUCUUAAAGUAAACCUGCGAACGGCUCAUUAAAUCAGUUAAAAUCUAAAAAUCUAUUGUGAAUGGAUAACUGCAGUAAUUCUGGAGCUAAUACAGCUUAAAAAGGUCUUACGACCUGGUGUGGAGGGACCUUGUCCCUGAUUUUUUGAACAACCUCCACCAACCCGGCCGCCCAUGAGGGCGGCAUGUUUUUUGAUUUUCUGCCCUAUCAACUUUUGAUGGUAGUGUAGUGGACUACCAUGGUUUCGACGGGUAACGGGGAAUAAGGGUUCGAUUCCGGAGAGGGGGCCUGAGAAAUGGCCACCACUUCUAAGGAAGGCAGCAGGCGCGCAAAUUACCCAAUCUCAAUUCGAGGAGGUAGUGACAAGAAAUAGUAAUGCCUUGGUCCAUACGGACCUGGCAAUUGCAAUGAGCCGGUUAUUAAACCACCGGCGAGGAACAAUUGGAGGGCAAGUCUGGUGCCAGCAGCCGCGGUAAUUCCAGCUCCAAUAGCGUAUAUUAAAUUUGUUGCAGUUAAAAAGCUCGUAGUCUUAGCUAGAGUAACGUGCCGUAAUGUCGUCCAUAUUUGGACGCUAGCGGAAACGAGCUCACAUCCGGAGCGGUGCGGUGGACAUUGAGUUGUCGCUGUUAUCGACUUCGUAAUUACCUUGAGGAAAAUAGAGUGUUCAAAGCAUGCAAGUUUGCAUGAAUAAUUUAGCAUGGAAUAGUGUUUAUUGCGAGGGGGUUGUUAGGGGCCGACCCCAGCGUAGGUUGAAUAGAAACAAUUGGGGACGUUUAUAUCAAAUUGUCAGAGGUGAAAUUCUUGGAUUUAUUUGGGAUACACAAAUGCGAAGGCAUUCGUCAGGGGUGUUUUCAUUGAUCAAGAACGAUAGUUAAGGGAUCGAAGACGAUCAGAUACCGUCGUAGUCUUAACCGUAAACUAUGCCGACCAGGAAUCGGGUGAUGUUAAUAUGGAUGACUCACUCAGCGCCUACAGAGAAAUCUUUAGUCUUUGGGUUCUGGGGGGAGUAUGGUCGCAAGGCUGAAACUUAAAGGAAUUGACGGAAGGGCACACCAGAAGUGGAGCCUGCGGCUUAAUUUGACUCAACACGGGGAAACUCACCAGGUCCGGACAUUAGAAUGAUUGACAGAUUGAAGACCUUUCAAGAUUUGAUGGGUGGUGGUGCAUGGCCGUUCUUAGUUGGUGGAUUGAUUUGUCUGCUUAAUUGCGAUAACGAACGAGACCUCCCUCUGCUAACUAGUAGGCAUUUAUUAAUUACGGCUGAAGUCUGGUAUGGCCGAGGCAAGCAAUUGCCAGAGCUCGCCAGGUGGAUGCUUUUGGUGGAGUGUGCGACUUCUUAGAGAGACUGAUGUUUUUUAAAGUAUAGGAAGAGAGGCAAUAACAGGUCUGUGAUGCCCUUAGAUGUUCUGGGCCGCACGCGCGCUACAAUGAUUAGAGUAGAGUGUCCAAAGUGAACGCUCUACGGAAACUUCGGGCGAAUCCGGAUUUCCAUUCAUAACUGGAAUAGAUUUUUGUAAUUAUUAGUCUUAAACGAGGAAUUUCUAGUAGGCGCGGUUCAUCAGACCGCGUCGAUUACGUCCCUGCCCUUUGUACACACCGCCCGUCGCUUCUACCGAUUGAGCGUUCCGGUGAAAUUAUCAGAUUGGAAUUAGUUUUAUGGGCAACCGUUGGUUAACGUUGAAAAGGCAAGUAAACCAUAACGCUUAGAGGAAGAAGAAGUCGUAACAAGGUCUCCGUAGGUGAACCUGCAA
rnacentral:rRNA from 1 species